rnacentral:rRNA from 1 species
GACGAACGCUGGCGGCGUGCUUAACACAUGCAAGUCGAACGAUGAAGAAAAGAAUCGAAGCUUCGGCAGAAAUUCAUUUCGGAUUAGUGGCAGACGGGUGAGUAACGCGUGAGCAACCUACCUCUUACAAAGGGAUAGCCUCGGGAAACCGGGAUUAAUACCAUAUAACAUUGCGACGAAGCAUUUCGAUGCAAUCAAAGCUACGGCGGUAAGAGAUGGGCUCGCGUCCCAUUAACCGGAUGGUGAGGUAACGGCUCACCAUAGUGACGAUGGGUAACCGGCCUGAGAGGGUGAACGGUCACACUGGAACUGAGACACGGUCCAGACUCCUACGGGAGGCAGCAGUGGGGAAUAGUGCACAAUGGAGGGAACUCUGAUGCAGCGACGCCGCGUGAGUGAUGAAGGAAUUCGUUUCGUAAAACUCUGUUCUAUGGGAAGAAAAAGACUGUACCAUAGGAGAAAGCUCCGGCUGAAUACGUG